CUGCAGGGACAAAAUGUAUACUUAGUUAUAAACAAUCAGUUCCUAUGCUUUGUGAUAUUACUAACAUUAGGUUAAGUAUGAAAUAGAUGAGUAUACCCUCAUAUCGUUUUCUAAGGUGUACGACAUCUAUAGGGCAUUUGCAUAACUAAUCAUCAUAAACAUUGGGAGCCAUUUUGUUACUCAGAGAAGCCAAGUGAGGUGUCUGAGGUAAUAUAUCUGCUUAUAUCUUUGUAAUCUUGUGAUAUAUUUUUAUAUUAGUAUAAGUAAAUGAUCUAUUGUUAUAUAAAGACCUAAUUGAAGGAGAAUGUAAUAUGAAUAUUGAGCUAUAUUGUGUGAAAUAAGAGUUUUAUGUCAAGCAUGUAUUAGUGGAAGAUUUGUUCAUUUCAGUUUAACGGAGAUAAUUGGGAAAUAAUUGGACUAGAAAUGGAUGGUAAUGAAUUGCAUGUAAAAAGAAGAAUUCAAGAUGUAUCGAAGAUGCAAUAAAGUACCACAAAAAGAUCCCAAGCGUUUCCAGUGAAACCCACCGGUUCUUGGCUCUCUGCAACAGUUAAACUCAGCCCACAACAGAUGGAUACACUGAGUUACAGUUAAACUCAUCGCAUCAGUUAAACUCAAGACCUUCUGCAUGCAGUUAAACAUGCAAAAGUAAAAGAUCAGUCCAGAACUACAGUUAAACUCACAUCCUCAUGAGUUCAGAUUCAAGACCUCCUGUAAGCAGCAGUUACAUACUUCAGUGGGGAUGCUCGUGAGAGGAUUCACAUCUGUCAACCCAUCUUGCAAGAUAAUUCAAGGUCAAGAAGGAUAGAAGAACGGUGUGAAUGUUCGUGGGAAUCCAAAGGCAAGAGGAUAACCUAUAAAUUACUGGAAGAUUUCUGCUCUUUAAAGAAGCUCUUCAUUUCUACAGGUCCCAAAGGCUAGUGAACUUUUAACUAAUAGGUAUAGAUUGUGUGUUUUAAGUUCCAUAUAGGUCAGUAGACAAAUAGUAGUUGUAAUAAUGAGUGCUACUGAAGAAGCUGUAGGUGACCAACCUCAGGUAACUGGGGCCAGUGAGGUAAUGAAAGGUGCUAGGAAAAAGGUUUUAACAGAAAAAGGGCGUGAGUAUCAAAUAACACAGUAUAUAAAGAGGUUAUCAUCUGCUAAGCUAGCAUGGAAAAAGGUAUUAUCAGAGAUAUUACCAAGUCUUGAUAGUGUAGUAUGCUUGGAUCAACUUAAUGUUCAUAGAAAGGCAGAAGAGUCACAGUUUAAAGAAGUUGUAAAUGCCUUUAACUUGUUAAUGGAAGUAGAUCCAAGUUCUGAGGAUGAAUUGUUACAAGAGUUAAAGUUUGAGACUGAGGAGCACAAUAAUUGUAUGCAAAAAAUUGAGAGUAAAAUGCAUGAGUUAAAACAAGAAACAAAUUCAGUAAAUUCACAACAAAGUAGAUCAUCAAAGCACUCCCAUUCAACAAAGAGAUCUAUGCAUAAUGUUACACAGAAUGAAAGAAUACAAGCAGAAUUAGCUAAGCUACAAAUUGAGCUUCAGCUUCAUAAAAAGGAAACAGAGUAUAAGAUGUUCAUGAUAAAUCAACAGAGGAUCAUGAAAGAAAAAGAAUAUGAGUACAAAAAGUUUCUUUUUAUGAGAAAUAGGUUUCCAUCUCAAAAAGAAGUAGAGAAAGCCAGUCUAGAAGAAAAUCAGCUAGAAUUGUCUCAAAGUAAAGAUCUAGAUGAUAGUAAAGAACUUCAUCUUCACAAAUAUUUUGAAUCUAUUGAUAAAUUGACAGAGGUUGAGAAAGUAAAUCCUACUUUACCAAAACAAGAAAUAGCUGCUAAUGAUGUAUCAGGUAUGGGUGAAUUAGAGAUAGAGGUGUCUAAAUUAGAGAAUACCUUCUUAAAAGCAAGUCCAGAGCUUAAGCUACAAACAAAGAGUUUUGAGCCAAAAAGAGAGUUUCAAGAUUUGAAUGCAUCAUUUGGGCAAGGUAGAUCAAGUCAACCUAUAGACCUUAAUGUACUCAAAGAUGUAUUAAAUAUUUUAUCAUCUAAAAGUAAAAGUGAAUUGCCUAAACUAGAACCAGAAAUUUUCAGUGGAGAUUUAUUGGAGUUUCCAACCUGGCUUCAAACCUUUGAGAUUUUUAUAGAAUCAAGAGUUACAGAACCUGCAGAGAAACUUUUCUAUCUAGGUCACUAUACAAGUGGGGAAGCUAAGGCUGCCAUUAAAGGACUUCUUCGUAUCCCCAAAGAAGAAGCUUAUCUUGAGGCUAAAGGUAUAUUAAUGGAUAGGUUUGGAAAUAAGUUUAUUGUGGCAAAUGCUUUUAGAAGUAAAUUAAAUGAAUGGCCAAAGAUUUCAAAUAAGGAUGGUCAUGCACUACAGGAAUUGUCAGACUUCUUAAAGAAUUGCUUAACAGUAAUGAGAACAACAGACUACCUUAAUAUUUUAAAUGAUCCUCAAGAAAAUGGUAAAAUGUUACAGAAGUUAUACCCAGCUCUUAUAGAUAGAUGGAAUUCUGUAGUUUACAAAUGGUCCUCAAGUGAUGCAGGUUACCCUCCAUUUUCAGUUUUUUGUGAAUUUAUAGAAGUGGAGGCAAAGAAAGCUCGCCAUCCAAUCUCAUCACAAAAUGCAGUAAUGACAAGGAAUCAGAGUCAUAAUAUCAAUGUUUCAAUGAGUAGUAAGAAGGGUAAACCAGAAUUAAACAAGUCUGGGACAAAAAGGUUUGUGACUAACUCAACAGGUGUAAAAGAAACAAAGGUACAUAGAGAUGACAGGGGACAAAGUCCAGACAAACCAUAUUGUAAUUUUUGCAAGGUUGAUCAUGAACUUGAUAAAUGUAAAGGGUUUAAUGGACUUGAUAAUAAGGCAAAAUUUGAAUAUGUCCAAAAAUCAUUUCUUUGUAGGGGUUGUUUAAAACAUGGCCAUAUUGUUAAAAACUGCAAAAGAAAGAAUAUAUGCACAGUAUGUAAGAGACGUCAUCCAACAUCUCUUCAUGAGGCUAUACUUGAAAGAAUAAAAGAAAGGGAAGCCUUACUCAAAAUGUAUAAGGAACAAGAGGCUGGAAAUACAGUAACAUUGUCAAAUGAAACUAAUAUAAAUGAAGACAAGGUAAACUCCAGCAAAGUUAAUGAGGAACUCAAAGAUAGUGCAGUUUCCAAUAAAAUAAAGAUAUUGAGAAAAUCAGAGGAUAUGAUGCAUUCCAUGAUAGUACCAGUAUGGAUACAUCAUGAAAGUAACAUACGUAAAAAGGUAUUGGUUUAUGCAUUAUUGGAUGAACAGUCAGAUGCAUGUUUUAUUAAAGAAUCCACCAUGAAUGAGCUAAACAUUCUAGGCUCCAAGGUACACCUAAAGUUAACAACAGUGACAGCCGAAGAAACAAUUGAAAGUACAAAGACUAGAGGACUAAUAGUAUGUGGUAAAAAUGAAAAGAUAGAGAUUGCACUUCCAGUCACUUAUUCAAGGAAGAAUAUACCAGCCAGACAUGAUCAAAUUCCAAGGCCAGAAAGUGUAGAAGGGUGGCCUCAUUUACAGAGAGUAGCAAACGAAUUGAUGCCAUACGAUAGAAGUGUUGAAGUUGGGCUCCUGAUUGGCUUAAAUUGUAUCCGUGCCAUCAAACCAAGAGAGUUAAUUCCCGGGAAAGAUGACGAGCCUUAUGCAAGGAGAACUUUGCUUGGUUGGAGUAUAAUAGGGAGAGUCAAUGGUGAUUGUCAAGACACAAGUGACUCAGAUUCAGUUCUAGCUAGCAAAGUAAUAGUCAAUAAGGUUAUCAUUAAUGGUGACACAAAAUGUAGCUUUCUUUCCUCACCAACUAAAGUAAAGGAAAUAAUUGAUUUUGCACAAGUUCGAAAAUUGUUCGAGCUUGAUUUCAGUGAAAGGGAGACAGGAAAUGUUCCUUUUUCGUAUCAAGACAAGAUUUUCUUAAGAAAAAUGAAAGAUGGAAUUCAUCAACUAAAAGAUGGGCGUUAUGAAUUGCCACUCCCUCUUAAAGAUGAUAAGGUCAAGUUUCCAAAUAGUAAAGAAUUAGCAAUGUGUAGGUUGAUGAGUCUAAAGAGGAAGCUAAAGCAAAAGAAUGGUUUUCUACAGGACUAUGUUGCCUUUAUGAAAGAUCUCAUAGACAAAGGCUAUGCAGAAGAGGCACCAUACCAGGGUCCAAAUUUCAAUGAUGGAAGAGUAUGGUAUAUACCACAUCAUGGUGUGUAUCAUCCAAAGAAACCUGACAAAAUUAGGGUAGUAUUCGAUUGCAGUGCUGUGUAUAAGAAUGAAUCACUUAAUAAGAAUCUUUUACAAGGUCCGGAUCUGACAAAUAACUUGAUUGGCGUAUUGUGCAGAUUCAGAAAGGAACAUGUAGCAAUUGCAUGUGAUAUAGAAGCAAUGUUCCACCAAGUAAAGGUAAAGCCUGAUCACAGAGACCUACUACGCUUUCUGUGGUGGGAAAAUGGAAAUCCUGAUUCAACUGUCAAAGAAUAUAGAAUGACAGUUCACUUAUUUGGGGCUACAUCUUCUCCAAGUGUAGCAAGUUUUGCACUGAAAGCCACUGCUGAUGAUUAUGCAUGGCAAUGUGGAACAGAAGCCGCCUCCUUUGUUAAAAAUGAAUUUUAUGUAGAUGAUGGGUUAACAUCUUUACCUACAACUGCAGAAGCCAUAGCUUUAAUCAGGAAUAGUAAAGCAUUAUGUUCGAAGGGUGGCUUCAAAUUGCACAAGUUCUUGUCAAAUAAGAAAGAAGUUCUAGAAGCAAUAAGUUUAGAGGAAAAGGCUAAAAGUUUAAAGAACUUAGAUCUCUCUAGUGAAGCCUUACCAAUAGAGAGAACUUUAGGAGUAGAAUGGUGUAUAGAAUCAGAUACGUUCCAGUUCAGAAUUAGUAUUAAUGACAAACCAAUAACUAGAAGAGGUAUAUUGUCAACGGUGAGUUCUGUUUUCGAUCCAAUGGGUAUGGUCUCACCCUUUAUAUUGAUUGGUAAAAGAAUACUUCAAACCUUGUGUCAAGAUGGAGUAGACUGGGAUGAUGACAUAUCAGAUAAUUUGAAACAACAAUGGAGAAGAUGGAGAGAUGAUCUGAUUCAGUUGAAAGAGUUAAAGAUUCCUAGAUGCUACAAGCCUGAUGUGUUUAGAAAGGUCAAAUCAUUGGAACUGCAUCAUUUCUCUGGUGCUAGUCAGCAUGGUUAUGGACAGUGCUCUUAUUUAAGGCAAGUAAGUGAGCAGGGACAAGUUCAUUGUGCACUUGUCAUGUCAAAGUCUAGAGUGACACCAUUGAAGCCCAUAACUGUUCCUAGGUUAGAACUAACAGCUGCAGUCGUAGCUGUUCGAAUUAGCUCUAUGUUAAGGAAGGAGUUAGGUUAUCAGGAAGUAAAGGAAUACUUUUGGACCGAUAGCAAAGUCAUACUUGGCUACAUUUCAAAUGAGGCAAAGAGAUUCCAUGCGUUUGUUGCUAACCGAGUGCAGCAUAUUAAAGACCACUCCUCUAUGGAACAAUGGAAAUUUAUAGAAUCAGCUCAAAAUCCUGCCGAUGCCGCUUCACGUGGAUUGUAUGUAAAGGAGCUGAUUGAACAUUCUCUAUGGUGGAAUGGACCAAAUUUCCUCUGGGAACCUGACCAUGAUGCAAAUCUACCAUUUGUAAAUGUAGAUAUCCAAGAAAAUGAUCCAGAGGUUAAGAAAAUUUCGGCAUAUAAGACCCAAACCAAAGAGAGCACUUCUAUUCUUCCUAGACUUGAAUAUUUUUCUGAUUGGCACAGGGCAAAGAAGGCUGUUGCAUUAUGUUUACGCCUUCAACGUAGAUUCAAGAAUUCUAGAAGAACAGUCAAUGAAGAACUGACUGAAAACAAAGAAUCCAAGUACAUUCCACCUAGUGUAACAGAACUUGUGGAAGCUGAGAAUGAAAUCAUAAGACAAGUCCAAAAUGAAGCUUUCCAAAGGGUGAAACAAGAUUUACAAUGUGCUAACAACGACAAUGAAGAUGCCAGUAAAAGAAACAAACCCUUAAAGAAGGCAAGUUGCAUUUACUCACUUGAUCCCUUCAUAGAUAAAAAUAACAUCUUAAGGGUAGGUGGCAGAAUAAGACAAGCAGAUUUUGCUGCAAGCAAUAAACAUCCAGUAAUUCUGCCAAAGGACUCACAUAUAACAGAAAUGAUAGUGUGUUAUUACCACCGGAAAGUUCAUCACCAAGGAAGAGGAAUCACAUUGAAUGAGUUAAGGGCAUCUGGUUAUUGGAUCAUUGGAGGUUCAUCAGUGGUAGGUAGACAUAUUUCAAAAUGUGUCAUAUGUAAAAAGUUGAGAGGCACAUUUCAAGAACAGAAAAUGUCUGAUUUGCCCCCAGAAAGACUUGAACCUGCCCCCCCCAUUUACAUACUGUGGGGUAGAUUACUUUGGACCAUUCUUUGUUAAACAAGGUCGCAAAGAGGUCAAGAGAUAUGGUGUUUUGUUUACUUGUAUGGCUUCAAGAGCAAUCCAUCUAGAAACAGCAAAUACACUGGAGACUGAUUCAUUCCUCAAUGCAUAUCGACGCUUUAUAGGAAGACGUGGCCCUGUUCGUCAACUCAGAUCAGAUCAGGGCACAAAUUUUGUUGGAGCUAGAAAUGAACUUCAGCAAUGCUUGCAAGAAAUGGAUCAAAAGAAACUAAGAGGGGAGCUUUUAAAGGAGAACUGUGACUGGAUUACAUUUGAAAUGAAUAUCCCUCACGCCAGUCAUAUGGGUGGAGUAUGGGAAAGACAGAUCCGUACUGUGAGGAAUAUACUAACAGCCCUAUUAUACCAUCAUGGCAGACAAUUAGAUGAUGAAUCACUCAGAACCUUUAUGGUUGAAGCAGAGACCAUAGUAAAUAGUCGACCCUUGGCAGUUGACAACAUCAGUUCUCCAUAUUCAUCAGAACCAUUGACACCAAAUCACUUGUUAACAAUGAAAUCAAAGGUUGUGCUACCGCCACCUGGAACAUUCCAAUCUUCUGACCAAUAUUCAAGGAAAAGAUGGCGAAGAGUUCAAUAUCUUGCCAAUGAAUUUUGGAAUAGGUGGAAAAAAGAAUAUGUUCAAUUGCUUCAGUGCAGGAAGAAGUGGCCUUCAGUUACCAAAAAUGUUAAAGUAAAUGAUAUUGUCAUUGUAAAGGAACAAAAUUUACCAAGGAACUCUUGGAAACUUGGUUGUGUAUCUGAGGUUAUACCAAGCAAAGAUGGUCUUGUAAGAAAGGCAAGGAUAACAAUGGCUGAUUCCUCACUUGACGCUUUUGGAAGACGAACGAAAGCAGUCGUUAACCUUGAAAGACCAGUCCACAAACUCAUAUUGUUAGUUGAAUCAUAGUGGAAGUGGGGUGUCCCCGCCAAAGAGCCUAUUCAAAUAUCAAAAUUGUAUUGUUCCUCAGUAGUAUAGAUGUUGAUUCCACAUUUUGCUCAUAUAAGUACAAUGUAAUUAGAGUUUAAGGUAAAUUGUUCAUACAAUUUAGGGGAGCCAUGUUACUGCAGGGACAAAAUGUAUACUUAGUUAUAAACAAUCAGUUCCUAUGCUUUGUGAUAUUACUAACAUUAGGUUAAGUAUGAAAUAGAUGAGUAUACCCUCAUAUCGUUUUCUAAGGUGUACGACAUCUAUAGGGCAUUUGCAUAACUAAUCAUCAUAAACAUUGGGAGCCAUUUUGUUACUCAGAGAAGCCAAGUGAGGUGUCUGAGUUUAACGGAGAUAAUUGGGAAAUAAUUGGACUAGAAAUGGAUGGUAAUGAAUUGCAUGUAAAAAGAAGAAUUCAAGAUGUAUCGAAGAUGCAAUAAAGUACCACAAAAAGA